UCCCAUUCGGCCACGUGACUCGGCUGAUGGGAAGGUGCAACUGGAAACCGACCAACAUUGGAGCAGACUGGGGGGAAAGUUCUAACAGGUGUUCUUGCUUAUCCUCAAAAAUUGGCCCCUCUAGGAGAUUUCACUUGCUGCUAUCAGCCGAGCAAACUGUGCUGGGAUCUCUGCUUCGUGUCCAGUUAAUUCUUCAGACUCAGGAAAACUCAGCAUCAGUCUAUGACGAGGGCACAAGGAACAUUUUGUUGGAACGUCUGCGUAGCAGUGAUGAUACCAGUUCAAAAGUGCGAUUUCCUUUAUUACUCAUUACCAAUCAGUCACCCGCUAAUGUGUCCUUUAAAGCUAUCUAUAUUCCAAGAGAACAUCAAUUCUCAGAAUAAAAUAUAGCACCCAUGAUUAAAAUGUAAUUUAUUUUUCUUGAGAUACCUCUUUCAAGCAGCAGUUAGACGAGUAAUAGGGUCAUAGAUACUUGAUUAUUCUCUUAUUUAAAAAAAAAUCAGCGUCUGCAUUUUGAUAUACAGUCCAUUCUCCCUCUAACAUGGUUACGAGAGUUUUCAAUUAAAACACAAAUAACAAAUUCUGGAGCUACAUGAAGAUCUCAGGCCAAAAGGUAACAUUAAGCAAUGUUUUGCUUUAAUGUCACAUCCAGGGCAGGGCCACUGAAAGAGAGAGAGAGAGAGAGAGAGAGAGAGAGAGAGAGAGAGAGAGAGAGAGAGAGAG